rnacentral:misc_RNA from 1 species
AAGUCGUAACAAGGUUUCCGUAGGUGAACCUGCGGAAGGAUCAUUAUUGAAUAAAUUUGGUUGGGUUGUUUGCUGGCUCUUCGGAGCAUGUGCACGCCUACUCCAAUUUUUAAAACCCCCCUUGUGCACCUUGUGUAGGCCUUGGAUAACUCUCGAGGACAAUUACCUCGGCCAGAGAAUUGCUGUGCGUAAAGUCAGCUAUUCUUGCGUCCUGGGCCUAUGUUUUCACACACACACUAUUAGAAUGUAAUUGAAUGUUAUUCAACAGGCGAUUUGCGCCUUUGGAAAUAAAUACAA